rnacentral:rRNA from 1 species
AUUGAACGCUGGCGGCAGGCCUAACACAUGCAAGUCGAGCGAGCGGCGGACGGGGGAGUGAUGUAUGGGGACUGCCCGAUAGAGGGGGGUAACUACUGGAAACGGGGUCUAAUACCGCAUACUCUCGCAUAACCCAUAUGGGAUUAGCUAGUAGGUAAGGUAAUGGCUUACCUAGGCGACGAUCCCUAGCUGGUCUGAGAGGAUGAUCAGCCACACUGGGACUGAGACACGGCCCAGACUCCUACGGAGGCAGCAGUGGGGAAUAUUGCACAAUGGGCGCAAGCCUGAUGCAGCCAUGCCGCGUGUAUGAAGAAGGCCUUAGGGUUGUAAAGUACUUUCAGUCGGGAGGCGUUACCGACAGAAGAAGCACCGGCUAACUCCGUGCCAGCAGCCGCGGUAAUUC